rnacentral:tRNA from 1 species
GUAGCUUAGUGGCAGAGUGCUUGCCUUGCAUGCAUGAAGCCCUGGGUUCGAUUCCUCAGC